GCCGGGGUGGCAGAGUGGCAAAACAGUGGUCUGGGCCAAUGCGCCGGACUCGAGAUCCGGUUCUCCUUUGAGGAGAGCAGGGGUUCAAGUCCCCUCCCCGGCG
rnacentral:tRNA from 1 species